GACGAACGCUGGCGGCGUGCUUAACACAUGCAAGUCGAACGGAAAGGCCCUGCUUUUGUGGGGUGCUCGAGGGGCGAACGGGUGAGUAACACGUGAGUAACCUGCCCUUGACUUUGGGAUAACUUCAGGAAACUGGGGCUAAUACCGGAUAGGAGCUCCUGCUGCAUGGUGGGGGUUGGAAAGUUUCGGCGGUUGGGGAUGGACUCGCGGCUUAUCGGCUUGUUGGUGGGGUAGUGGCUUACCAAGGCUUUGACGGGUAGCCGGCCUGAGAGGGUGACCGGCCACAUUGGGACUGAGAUACGGCCCAGACUCCUACGGGAGGCAGCAGUGGGGAAUAUUGCACAAUGGGCGGAAGCCUGAUGCAGCAACGCCGCGUGCGGGAUGACGGCCUUCGGGUUGUAAACCGCUUUCGCCUGUGACGAAGCGUGAGUGGCGGUAAUGGGUAAAGAAGCACCGGCUAACUACGUG
rnacentral:rRNA from 1 species